CCUACGGGAGGCUGCAGUGAGGAAUAUUGGUCAAUGGGCGCGAGCCUGAACCAGCAAAGUAGCGUGAAGGAUGAAUGCCCUACGGGUUGUAAACUUUUUUUAUAAAGGAAUAAAGUGAGGCACGUGCGCCUUUUUGUAUGUACUUUAUGAAUAAGGAUCGGCUAACUCCGUGCCAGCAGCCGCGGUAAUACGUAGGAUCCGAGCGUUAUCCGGAUUUAUUGGGUUUAAAGGGAGCGUAGAUGGGUUGUUAAGUCAGUUGUGAAAGUUUGCGGCUCAACCGUAAAAUUGCAAUUGAUACUGGCAGACUUGAGUACAGUUGAGGUAGGCGGAAUUCGUGGUGUAGCGGUGAAAUGCUUAGAUAUCACGAAGAACUCCGAUUGCGAAGGCAGCCUACUAGACUGCCACUGACAUUGAUGCUCGAAAGUGAGGGUAUCAAACAGGAUUAGAUACCCCUGUAGUC
rnacentral:rRNA from 1 species